AGAGUUUGAUCAUGGCUCAGGACGAACGCUGGCGGUGUGCCUCACACAUGCAAGUCGAACGGAGUAGCAAUACUCAGUGGCGGACGGGUGAGUAACACGUGGGAAUCUGCCUUUGAGUGGGGGAUAACUGGCCGAAAGGCUAGCUAAUACCCCAUACGUCGCAAGAUAAAAGGAGCAAUCCGCUCGAAGAUGAGCCCGCGUCCGAUUAGCUAGUUGGUAAGGUAACGGCUUACCAAGGCUUCGAUCGGUAGCUGGUCUGAGAGGAUGAUCAGCCACAAUGGGACUGAGACACGGCCCAUACUCCUACGGGAGGCAGCAGUGGGGAAUUUUACACAAUGGGGGAAACCCUGAUGUAGCGACACCGCGUGAGCGAAGAAGCCUUUCGGGGUGUAAAGCUCUGUCAGCAGGGACGAAAAAAAUGACGGUACCUGCAGAGGAAGCAUCGGCUAACUACGUGCCAGCAGCCGCGGUAAGACGUAGGAUGCAAGCGUUGUCCGGAUUUAUUGGGCGUAAAGAGUUCGUAGGUGGUUUGUUAAGUCUGGUGUAAAAGGCUGGGGCUCAACCCUGGUACAGCACUGGAUACUGGCAGACUAGAGUGCAGUAGAGGCAAGCGGAAUUCCCAGUGUAGCGGUGAAAUGCGUAGAUAUUGGGAAGAACACCGGUGGCGUAAGCGGCUUGCUGGGCUGUUACUGACGCUGAGGAACGAAAGCUAGGGGAGCAAAUGGGAUUAGAUACCCUAGUAGUCC
rnacentral:rRNA from 1 species